CAGUAACUGCGAGUGAAGAGGGAAGAGCUCAUCAUUGGAAUCUGGCAGUGUUGCACUGUCCGAGUUGUAGAUGAGGAGUAGUCCGUCUGGACUGCAUGGCGUCCAAGUACAAUAGGCCGUCAGUGGGACAUCAUAGAGGGUGACAAUCCCGUCCUUGAUGCCAAUGUGCAAGUCCGUUACGAUGGCUAUCUCAGAGAGUCGAGCAGUUUGGGAUUUGCUGCUUAAACAUGGGAGGUAGAUUCCUUCUAAAGCUAAAUACAGGCGAGAGACCGAUAGAGAACAAGUACCGCAAGGGAAAGAUGAAAUAGAACUCUGUGAAGGGAGUCAAAAGGCGUGAAAUUGUUGCGAGAGAAGCGAUUCAAGUCAGCGUAGCUAGGCCCAUCAAGCGUCUUCGCUUUGGACUAGCUUUGCCAGCGGUCUUGUCCUUAGAGACUUGACUUUGUAUAUGUGUCCAGCCUGGUAUGCACAGGUAGCCCCUCUGGGGGCCAGUGGCACGGCUGGUGGAAUGGCUUGCAAUCGACCCGUCUUGAAACACGGACCAAGGAGUCUAACAUGUAUGCGAGUAUAAGGGUGGCAAACCCGUAUGCGCAAUGAAAGUGAUUUUCGGUGAUUGAGAAUGGCCUGAUGACCAGACAAGCAAUACAUGUCCCUCGGACGGCCAUUGCCCAAGUUCCGUGGUAGAUCCCAUGAACAUGGAGUUGGAGCAUACAUGCUAGGACCCGAAAGAUGGUGAACUAUGCCUGGACAAAGCGAAGCCAAAGGAAACUCUGGUGGAGGCUUGUAGCGAUUCUGACGUGCAAAUCGAUCGUCUGAUCUGGGUAUAGGGGCGAAAGACUAAUCGAACCAUCUCAUAGCUGGUUCCUGCCGAAGUUUCCCUCAGGAUAGCAGAGACCUAGUGGAAGUUGCAUGUGGUAAAGCGAAUGAUUAUUGAUCCUGGGGCUCAAAUGGGCCUCAGUCUAUUCUCAAACUGUGAAUGCGUGCGGUUGGACUGUGCUUAGCAAUAGAAGC
rnacentral:rRNA from 1 species